AAUCUUGCAUGAAAAAAGGCAUGCAAGUGUUUAGCGUUUAAACACAGCAUCAAGUUGAUGAAGCUUGAUUAUUGAUUAAUAGGUUAACAAAGGUUAAUAAAUUAAUUGAGAUGAAGUAAGAAUACUUGAGGUUGUAUGGUUAAGUGACUAAGCGUACAGGGCGGAUGCCUUGGCAAUCAGAGGCGAAGAAGGACGUGCUAAUCUGCGAAAAGCUUGGAUGAGUCGAUAAGAGGCGUU
rnacentral:misc_RNA from 1 species